rnacentral:misc_RNA from 1 species
GGGACUACUAGGGUUUCUAAUCCUGUUUGAUACCCACGCUUUCGAGCCUCAGCGUCAGCUACAGACCAGAGAGUCGCCUUCGCCACUGGUGUUCCUCCAUAUAUCUACGCAUUUCACCGCUACACAUGGAAUUCCACUCUCCUCUUCUGCACUCAAGUUCCCCAGUUUCCAAUGACCCUCCCCGGUUGAGCCGGGGGCUUUCACAUCAGACUUAAGGAACCGCCUGCGCUCGCUUUACGCCCAAUAAAUCCGGACAACGCUUGCCACCUACGUAUUACCGCGGCUGCUGGCACU